CUUCAGAUACAACCUACCGUCGA
rnacentral:piRNA from 1 species